rnacentral:rRNA from 1 species
UCAGGACGAACGCUGGCGGCGUGCCUAAUACAUGCAAGUCGAGCGGACCAAUCAGGAGCUUGCUCCUGAUUGGUUAGCGGCGGACGGGUGAGUAACACGUGGGCAACCUGCCCUGUAGACUGGGAUAACAUCGAGAAAUCGGUGCUAAUACCGGAUAAUUUCUGAGGUCACAUGACCUUAGGGUAAAAGAUGGCUCCGGCUAUCACUACAGGAUGGGCCCGCGGCGCAUUAGCUAGUUGGUAAGGUAACGGCUUACCAAGGCGACGAUGCGUAGCCGACCUGAGAGGGUGAUCGGCCACACUGGGACUGAGACACGGCCCAGACUCCUACGGGAGGCAGCAGUAGGGAAUCUUCCGCAAUGGACGAAAGUCUGACGGAGCAACGCCGCGUGAGCGAUGAAGGCCUUCGGGUUGUAAAGCUCUGUUCUAUAGGGAAGAACAAGUGUCGUUCAAAUAGGGCGGCACCUUGACGGUACCUAACCAGAAAGCCACGGCUAACUACGUGCCAGCAGCCGCGGUAAUACGUAGGUGGCAAGCGUUGUCCGGAAUUAUUGGGCGUAAAGCGCGCGCAGGCGGUCUUUUAAGUCUGAUGUGAAAGCCCCCGGCUCAACCGGGGAGGGUCAUUGGAAACUGGGAGACUUGAGUACAGAAGAGGAGAGUGGAAUUCCACGUGUAGCGGUGAAAUGCGUAGAUAUGUGGAGGAACACCAGUGGCGAAGGCGACUCUCUGGUCUGUAACUGACGCUGAGGCGCGAAAGCGUGGGGAGCAAACAGGAUUAGAUACCCUGGUAGUCCACGCCGUAACGAUGAGUGCUAGGUGUUAGGGGUUUCGAUGCCCUUAGUGCCGAAGUUAACACAGUAAGCACUCCGCCUGGGGAGUACGGCCGCAAGGGCUGAAACUCAAAGGGAUUUGACGGGGGCCCC